AAUCUCAAAACCUUUAUCCUUUCACGUUUAGCAUACUGUCAAGCCCAAAGAUAAUGGGUUUGACAGAUCGUAAGACUCAUGUCCAAUUAGGCUCAGCGUGCAGUCAAGUCCAAAGGUGCUAUCAUGCCUAGCCCACGGGCGGUGGGUUUGACAACUUGCUAGACUCAUGAUCACCUGAACUCAGUAUGUAGCCGAUCCCAAUGAUGUUGGAUUUAGCAACUCACCAGACCUAUACUCAUUUGGGCUUAGCACGUAACUCAACCUAAAGAUUUUGGGUCUGACAGCUCGCUAGACUCAUAACUGCUUGGGAUCAACAUAUUGUUAAACCUAAGAAUGUUGGAUUUGACAGCUUAUCAGACCCAUGUCUUUUUGGACUCAACACGUAGUCACACCCAAGGACGUUGGGUCUGACAACUUACUAGACUCAUGUCUACUUAGGCUCAGCAUGUAGCUAAACUCAAGAAUGUUAGUUCUGAGAGCUUGCUAGACACAAGAAUUCCAACUAUUUUGGUUCAAUAGCGACCUUUUAUCUCUACGUCGGAAUCCAGCGAGCCUCUCUAUUCUCUCACAAAAAAGGAUUGAAAAUGAGGGAAUUGAAUUUUGAUAUCAAAAUUAUUUUUUUAACAAUUAAAAAGAGUGAUCACUUAUAAACUGAAAAAAAUAAAGGAUCAAAAUAAAUUUUUAUAUGAAAUUCAAAGUCAGCCUAUUUUAUCCACUCUUUUCAGUUUGAUCCUUUAUUUUUCAUUUCAACAUUUUUUUUCCAAAAAAAUAUAUACAAUUUAAUGCUAAUUUGAAUUAAAAAACUAAAUUAUGCAAAAACAAAGCUAGGAGAGAGAGGACAAUGCAUCUUCAAUAGUAAUAGUAAUAUCACCACUCGGCUUAGUUUUUUUUUUUUUUUUUUAAUAGAACAAACAAGCAUCAUUAAACGAGCAAGUGAGAUCUGAUGAUUUGGAUGCUUUGUACAUGUGUAUAAUCGUCCUUUUCCAAUCGAUCUCAUUAUUGCAAGUAUUUGGUCCCGCCAUGAAAAAUUACAUCUUCUUCUAUUUCGAGCAUGGUCACCUGUGAUCCAGCUAUACGUUGCAGGAAGAUAGAACUUUUUCUUGAAAGUUGACGACAGCAAAACUCUUUUUUUUCGCACAUGGAUGUUAAGAAAUUGAGUGCUUUCAUGUACCUUCUCCCAUGGCAUGUUUGCAUUUACAGUUUUACUUGAGUACCUCCGAAUCUAGUUUCUUUGAUGCGAUAGAAUGUUUGUGAAAGUGGUGCAAAUCAUUUUUUUUAAAUUUAUUUUUUUAUGUUUUGGAUCGUUUUGAUGUGCUGAUCUUAAAAAUAAUUUUUAAAAAAUAAAAAAAAUAUCAUUUUGAUACAUUUCAGCAUAAUUUUUUUUUAAAAAAACAAUUGCAAUCACACUCCCAAACAGGCUCAUGAGAAACCAACCUCAUAACCUCACGACCCGCUAUGCUCUAGCUAGCCUUGCAACAAUUUUUUUUAUAGAAAUUUUAGAAUGUAUUAACGAUUAUUUUUCAAAGUGUUUUUUACUUGAAAAUAUAUUAAAUAUUUUUUUUAAUUUUUUAAAAUUAUUUUUAAACAAAAAAUAAAUAAAUUUUACACCACUCCCGUUGAAUGUUUAAAAGUAUUCACUUUAGGGAGAACGAUAUGAUUUUUUGGGUUUAAUUUUCGAGAUUUUAAUAAAUAUUUUCCUUUCUUUAGCAAAUGCAGAAUUGUUAACUUUUAUUGUAUGAGUCCUUCUCCAUUUACCUAGUUACCAUCCGAAAAAACCCUUAAAAUCGUACCACCCUGCAAGUCAUAAAUCCUGGGUUGUUUCGACUUUAGAAUAAGUAGAUUAGUAAUUACAAUCGUUUUGUUUAUUAUGCAAUUAUAUAUAUUAAUACAAAAUCUUAGCAUAUAUAUCGUAAGCUUACAAUAGAGUUUAAAAGAAAAUCCUAGUAUAUAUGUUUGAAAUUUAUUUAAUUGACAUGAUUUAAAUAAAUUAUGGGUGAAUGAGAAAUUAAUUUAAAAAAAACUCUUAUUUUUUCUAUUAAAAAAACUAUUGAUUUUUCUAUAUUUAAUUCUUGAUUUAUGAUGGCUAAUCAAAAGUUUAUCAUAAUGAGAAUUGAUUUUUAUUAAUUCUUCAACUUUUAACUUUUAAAAUUCACUUAAAAAAUAAGAGGGUGAAUAGAGAGUUUUUAACUUGAAUUUUUCAGAUUUUUUAAUACUCUUUCUCACCUUAUUUUUGGUGUUUUAAUCAUCUUUUAUGGUUUGGUCUUUUCUUUCAAAUCUAGAGUUUAAAUUCAUGAGAGAUAUUUGAGUUUUUUUAUUUUGGUUCAAAAACCUUGUUUAGAAAUGUAUCUAAACUAAGGUGGUAGUGUUGGAAUCUUGAGAGACAUAUUGCAAACCAUAGUUUUAAAACCCGGCCCAACGAGUUGACCCGAGAUUGAAACCGGGCUGAGUUUGAGAAAAAAUAAGGGAAGAUAAAAACCCGAGGUGACCUAGUCAAAAACCUGGGUUGCAACUUAUUAACUAUUUUUUUUUAACAAAAAUGACAUUAUUUUGUUUUAUAAAAAUAAUUGGGGGUUGACCCGGUCAAAACCUAUGACAUGAGCCGAAUUUAAAAACUAUGUUGCAAACAUUUUAGUUGCACAAGUGAAGAGCAAUAAACAUAUUACGGACAAAUGAUUCAUCUUUUACAACAACAAAAUUUUUUAUUUUUUAAAAGUGCUUCAACAAGUAAAUGCUCUUUUUUAUUUUAAUUUAAGCAUUAUUAUUUCUAUUAUUAGUAUACAUGCAAGGACUUUAAUAUAUAUAUAUAUAUAUACCAAGUUUGUAUACAUAACAUGCUAUUAUUCUUUUUAUUAUAUUUAUAUUGAGAAUAUAUUUGUCUUGAAUUUUAUUUUGCAUGUUUAUAAAUUCAAAAUUGUAUGUAUUAAAAGAUUACCUUGAACAAUUUUUAUAUUUUGCAUGCUUUUAUUAUGAUACACUAAACAUCUUUGCUCACUAGUGUAAUAUAAUACAACAUAUUUUAAAAACAAUUGUAAGGUUUUAUUUUUUAUAUUAGAUUUUAUUUAGUUUAUCAUGUGAGAAAAAAAAUGAUAAUAAUAAUAAUAAUAAUAUAGAUUAAUUGUGAAAGAGCCUUUAGCAUCUUUAAAUUAUAAGUUAUAAUUCAACUUUAUGUAAUUUGCUAUAUUCUCACAUAUAGAUUUAAUUUUAAUUCUAUAUGCUUUAAUCUAUAACCUUUUUGUUUUAUUAUGAUUUUAUUUAUUUAUUUAUUUAUUAAAGGUUUCUAUAAAUCUUUGUUUUAAAGUUAUAGUUUAUCUUCUAAAAUUGUUUUUUAUGCAAUUUGAAUGUUUUGAUGCAUGUCAUAUAUUUUAUUGAUUUAUAUUUUUCAACAAGUGAGUUAUUAUUUUCAAAAAGUUGUUUUUUUUUUACCCCUCCAAUCUUUCAUAAGAACUUCUUUAAUGAAAUUAUUAUUCAUAUGAUACUAUUUUCAUAUAUAAUAUAGUUUGUAAGUGAAAUGAUGAUAAUUGAACAAAUCACAGAAAAUAAAAUAUGGCUCAACAAAGCAACCCAAUAAAGAAAAUGACUGUUAAAACCAAUAUUAAUAAUGUUGAUUACCUCACUAAUAAAAUUUUGAAAUGAACAUGUUUGUUGUUUUCAAAGUCAACCUGGCUAAACAAUCCUCAACAAUGUAUUGGAUGUUGUUGAUAUUAGAAAAAACUUAGUGUUUGAUUUAUUGUUGAGAAAAAAAUAGUUUUAAGAUGAUUUUCUUUAAAGUGGUAAAUUUAUACUCUCUAAGAAUGAUGUAUUUGUAGCAAAGAGGUAUCUCCGUGAUAAGCUUUUUAAAAUGAAUGUAAUGAUCAAUAUAACCAAUGAUGAGAACAAUAAUAAGAUUAUCUUUUUUUUUUAUUUGCUUGAGUUUUGUGAAAUAUGGCAUGAAAGUAAGGUUAUGUGAAUUAUAAUUUUAUGAAAAGAUUAAUAAACUAUGAAUUACCAAGUAUGGUUUUUUAGAAAAAUCAUAAGUGUGAAAUUUAUAUAAAAUUAAAAUUUACAAAACCUUCUUUCCAAACAAUUAAAAAAAGUAGUGAACCUCUAAACUUAAUUUACUAAGAUAUUGGUGAUUCAAAAUUUAUACAAACUUAAGGUGGAAAAAAUAUUAUAUUAUUUUUAUAGAUGAUUUCACAAGGUAUGGUUAUACUUAUCUACUUAGAAGCAAUGAUGAAGCUCUUGAAAUGUUUAAACAUUACAAGAAUGAAGUUCAAAAUCAACUUAAAAAGAAAAUAAAUGUAAUAAAAAGUGAUAAAUAUGGAGAAUACAAAGCAUUAUUUGGCGAAUUCUGUUUUCAAAAUGAUAUUAUUAACCAAAUUACUCCUCCUUAUUUACCACAAUAAAAUGAUAUUGUAGAAUAUAAGAAUCGAACAUUAAAAGAAAUGACGAAUAAAAUGUUGAUAAGUUCAGAGACACAUUAGAACUUGUAAAGGGAUGCAAUUCUAAUUGUCAAUUACUAACAAAAUGCCCGAUAAGAAGUUACAAAAGACAUUAUAUAAAUUGUAGAAAGGUAAAAGACCUUUCUAUAAAUACCUCAAAGUAUGAAAUUGUCUUAUGGGGGUAGCAAUACUUGAUUAUAAAAAAGUAAUGAUAGAAUCUAAAACUGUGGAUUAUGCAUUUAUUAGAUAUGAAUACAAUAGUAGUGCAUAAUGACUUCUUGUAAACAAAUCAAGUAUUGAGGAUAUUCAUCCUAAUACCAUUAUAGAAUUCAAAAAUGCUAUAUUUUUUGAAGAUAUGUUUCCAUAGAAGAAAGCACGAAAAAAUUAUUCACUUAAAAGAACGAUUGAGGUUAUAACUCAAGUAAUUAUCACCAAUAAAAAAAUAAUGAGGUUGAUAUUAGAAGGAGCAAAAGGGAAAAAACAACAAAAAUAUUUGGUUUUGAUUUUUUAACAUACUUGUUAGAAAAUAAAUCUCGAACUUACUACAAGACAAUGUCAUGUUUAGAAGCUUUCUAUUCGAAGAAUGCAGUUAAUAGUGAAAUUAAAUCCAUUAUAAAUAAUCAUAUAUGAAAACCAAUGUAUUUUCUUCCCGAAAGUAAACCAUUAGGCCAUAAGUGAAUAAUUAAAAGAAAAAUAAAAGUUGAUAGCACUAUUGACAAAUAUAAAGCUAAAGUUGUUAUUAAAAGUUUUAGACAACAAGAAUAUGUGUUAUAUUUUGAUAUAUAUUCACUCAUGUUAAGAAUAAUUUCUAUACGAAAUAUUAAUAGUUCCAAAAAAAUAAUUUUUUUUUUGCUAAAAUUUAAUAUAUUUUGUAUGUUUUGGAUCGUUUUGAUGUGCUGAUGUCAAAAAUAAUUUUUAAAAAAUAAAAAAACAUCAUUAACAUGCAUUUCGGCACAAAAAAUUAUUUAAAAAGCAACCGCUACCACACUGCCAAACACUCUCUAAGAGCAGCAAAUCAUGAAAUUGGAAUUGGAGGAGUAAAUCAGACUCACAAUAAGUAAGGAGAAGGAGAGUAGGAGAUGAUGAAUAUUACAAGUAGUUUAAGAAACACUAACCUGAUUUCUGUCAAAGCAGAGAGCAAAGAGGAAGGAGAAGGAUUUUGCAUGAUUGGCUGGUAGGUUAGGGUUUUUUUGGAAGUAUUUAUAUAUUAAUAUAAAUUUAUAAAUUUGGUUUGAUUUUAUUGAUUUCACACAAGUUAAAUUUAAUUUUAUUAAUUUUCGUAUUUUAAUUUAAUUUUAUAGGUUAGAUAUAUGAUUUUAUGAGUGAUUUUAACAACAAUUCUUAAUAAAAAAAAUAAGUUAGCAGUUACUGAAUAUUUUUUACGUUAAAAAAUCCAACCAAUGACAUAGCUUGGACUAAUGAACCAGUGCAAUUCUAUAACCGAGGAGAAACUAUUCCAUGCAAGCAACUAUAGGUUAAAAAAACACAUUAGCACGUGGCUUGCAGACAUAGGAGAAUAUCACUCAACAAAACAAAUGUAAAUCAAAUUUUGCAGCACCAAAAUGAAAUUCUCUUAUCUGGAUUCUCUACUGUACUUAAAAACACACCAAACGCAACUGAGUUAACGCGGGUUCUGAGUUCUGAUUCGCAUUUCCACCACCAAACAGAAUCAUUCAUACUUGCUAAACAAUUCUCACCGAACAUCAAGAUUCUUUGUCACAAAUACAAGAAAUUGGUGAGUUUUUCAAUGCUAAAAGCAAUACAGAAUCUUGGUUCAUCAACAACAACAACCACAACAACAACAACAGGGUUUGUGGCAUCUUUUUAUAGAUUGAAACCACCACAUGCCACCACAACUAGUGCUUUUGUCUCAAUUUCUUCCAGCCUGUUAUCCUAUUAUUCUCCAAGAACCAGACCCACAAAGCCUCUUCUGUUUUUGACUCGAAAGACUCGAUCUUUGGAACCUGUUCGUGCUCACUCAACUCGGUCUGAGUCUAAGAUGGAUGGCACUUCUUCUUCUUCAUCAGUUGCUGUUCAGUCAUCUGUGAGUUUCUUUUAUUUGAGUUCUUGUUCUGUAUUGUUGACAUCCUGAUACUCUUAUUGAAUUUGUAGAUAAAUUAGAUAAUUAGUUAUGAAUAUUGGGCUGUUGGGGUUUAUGAUUGUCAUUUUCUUGAUUGUGUGGUAGAAAUUUCUCUUAUUUAUUCAGUCCAUUUUUUUGGUCAUCUUCGUGCUUUAAUUGAAGUUUUAUCUUAGUUUUAUGCCUCCAUUGUUGUGGAAUUUGAUCAUGUUUUACUUGUUUUCAUUUAUUGUAAAUGUUGAGUUGCUUAUUUGAUCGACUUGGAAGCUACUUAAUCUUGGUUGACACACAAGCUAGGUCGAAGAUACUUGAAUGAAACAAAUAAGAGAACCUUAUAACUAAUCUCAUAUCACAUAGUAUUCUUUUUUGAACAUCACUGAUAUAUAUUUUUUUUCUUAUUCAAGUUUUGUCAGUGCUUGUAUCCACAGCUAGGUUUAGAAAGAGACGGUGUGAAUUAGAUUAAUUGGUUCAGGAUAUCAUUGAUUGUUGAUGCCAGUGGUUUUUUACUUUUCUUCCCUUUUUGUCUCAUUCGAGACACUUGCAUUCACAUAAUCCUGUAUGGUGCUCAUUGCUUUUCUUUUCCAAUGCCCCCAACGUUGUUCUUUGCUGAUGAUAAUCUGUUUUUCAGGGAAGUGUACGCAAGAUCAAUUUCUGUCAGUGGUGUGGUGGCCAGACAAAACAUGAUAUACCUGAUGGGGAGGAAAAGAUGAGAGCUAUUUGCACAGUUUGUGGGAAAAUUACCUAUCAAAACCCUAAAAUGGUAUGGUCAUUCAUUAUUACAAUCAAAUAUGUCAUGUAUGUUUCUGCUGUCUUGUCUGAUUACAUGUGUCAUGUAUGUUUCUUCUAAAAUUGAUUUUAGCAUCCUGGUUCUCACCACAGCUGGUCAGGUAUCUCCAUUUAAUGUGAAGUGCAUGAACUAGCUAGCUUCAUUUAUUCUUUUGGCAGCUAUUAAAAUACAAAUCAUGGGAGGACUUGUUGUGAAAUAGAGAUUGUAUGCAAAAAAGGUUUUUAGGGAGCAUAAGCUGUUGGACUCUGAGUCAUCUAAUAGUGGAAUUGUGUGUGGAUUAUUUUAAUUCUACUGGUUGUUUUAACGAGUACUGAAAACAAGGAAAACGUUGUAGGCAUGAAGCCAAAAACCUUGCAAUGUGUUUAUAUCAUUCUAUUCUUGGUUUUCUCUCCAGUUUGUUUGAUACUGCAUUUUCAAUGAAGGCAAUGGAAAUAUUGUCAUCUUUUGUAAACUGGUUUGAAUAGGUGGUGGGAUGCCUCAUUGAGCAUGAUAACAAGGUCCUACUCUGCAAGCGAAACAUCCAACCAUCAUUUGGCCUCUGGUAUGCGUCUGAAAUUGGAAUUUCGGUACAGAAUGGAACCACUGCGUGCUUUUUCUAAUAUAAACUCUCAAAUAGUAGUUAAAAAGAAAAAAAAUGCAUUUACUCCAUAUGGUACUUGGUCCUUUCUUCUUUGCAUUUUAACUAGUUUUUCUUAUCUUCAUUAUCCAUGAUGGAUAACCCAGAUAAUUGUAUUGUGCCGAUGUAGGACCCUUCCUGCUGGUUACUUGGAAAUUGGUGAGUCUGCUGCAGAAGGGGCAAUCAGGGAAACCUGGGAGGAAGCACACGCAGAAGUGGAAGUCGUGUCACCCUUUGCUCAUUUGGACAUCCCUCUUAUUGGCCAAGUAAGGGAGAGAUGCCUCUCAUUUCUCAUAUUGAUUUUUCUAUGAACUUGCUUAAGGUUUCGAAGUUUGUUGUUGUUGUUUGGAGCAGACUUACAUAAUUUUCUUGGCAAAGCUGAGGAAGCCCCACUUUUCACCUGGUCCAGAGUCAUUGGAGUGCCAACUUUUUUCGCUAGAUGAUAUACCUUUUGAUUCUUUGGCAUUUUCAUCGAUGGCGGUUACUUUAAAGUUGGUAAGAGCCUGUUUUAGCGAUAUACAGUUUCUUAAUUUACUUGCUUUUGUUACUCAUAUAUAUAAUCUCCUGUUGUUGCAGUACAUUGAAGAUGUUAAAGCUGGAAGUCGAAAAUUUCACUACGGCACAAUUAACAAAAGGUACUUUACAAUGCAUUUUUUGUAUUAGAAGCUCAAGUGAACUCCUGUGAGAAUGGAUAAUCCACUUCUAAUCCAACCAGACAGCUUUGGAUUGUCUAUUGUCUCAAUAAAAUGCGUUGGCUAUUUGACUUAUUUUUUGCCAUUUUGCUCUUUUGUAAAUGGUUUUGUGAAAGGAAAUGACCAUUUGAUAAAAGUAGUGUUCAUUUCAGUUUCGGAGGUGUCUAUUUUGAAUUGUUAUGAUGGUGGUGGUUGUGGUAUUGGAGGCAGGCAGGUGCUUGCGGGCAGUUUUAGGUGACUGCCAGUGCUUCUACCUUUUCCAAUGUUUACGAAAGAAAAGAAAUAAUUGAAUAACAGAACACCUUUCUUUCUUUCUGCUGUCAUGAUAAAAUUUGGCUGCUGAUCUUUAGCUUGGGAAUGAGGCUGAAUUUAACAUGACCAACUUCUUUUUCGCAAAAUU
rnacentral:lncRNA from 1 species